UCCGGUUUGUCACCGGCAGUCUCAUUAGAGUGCUCUUGCGUAGCAACUAAUGACAAGGGUUGCGCUCGUUGCGGGACUUAACCCAACAUCUCACGACACGAGCUGACGACAGCCAUGCAGCACCUGUGUUACGGCUCCCUUUCGGGCACCCCAAGCUCUCACCUGGGUUCCGUACAUGUCAAGGGUAGGUAAGGUUUUUCGCGUUGCAUCGAAUUAAUCCACAUCAUCCACCGCUUGUGCGGGUCCCCGUCAAUUCCUUUGAGUUUUAAUCUUGCGACCGUACUCCCCAGGCGGUCGACUUCACGCGUGAGCUGCGUUACCAAGUCAAUUAAGACCCGACAACUAGUCGACAUCGUUUAGGGCGUGGACUAC
rnacentral:misc_RNA from 1 species